CCGGUGAGCAUCACUAGGAGGCAGGAGGCAGGAGGCAGGAGGCAGGAGAAUCAUGUCUUCAAGGUCAUCCUCAGCUACAUAUUGUGUAUGAGCCAGCAUGGGCUACCUGAGACCCUGGUUUUGUGUUUUGUUUUGUUUCUUUGUUAUUUUUAAUGAAAAUGAUAACUAUUAAUCAUAAUGGAAGCCAGAAGGGGAAAGGCAGAGUUUGGGGUACUAAGAUAAUUGGCUGGCUGACAGAAGUGGGCAGGUUUGAGCACCAGAUUUCAGGCAGAAAGGAAACACAAAAGUUCUCCCACUACUACAUUCUCCCCUCCACUGUCUACCUCAAAGCGUAGCCCUUUGCCUAGUCAGGCAGCCUUCCUUCAUAAAGAAUAAAAGGUGGAGUUUUCCCUCAAAUUCAACGAGGUAGGUUAUUAUCCUCAGGGGAUGGGGUGAGAAAUGGGGGCAGAGCACUCUUUCUGAGAAGGAAGGGUUAUGAGGUGGGGGACAGGACCCCACCAAUGAGAGGCACGGGAGAGGGCAGAGAGGGUGAGCCAGUAAGAAUUUACUGUUGGUCCUGAUUUCACUACGGAUUCAAGCUGCAGAGCUCUGCACAAAUAGCGUCCCGCUAAGCUUCAUAGUUUCUCAGGCAUGAAAGACACAUAACGUCUGCUUUUCUUCCCAGGCCCUCUGGCUUCCUAACCACCCUUUCCCUCACUCGGGUGAUCCCACCAUGAGACGACCACGCUGCCACUGCCCGAUGCAGCAAAGCGCCCCUCAUGAAAACUGAGCCAUACACUUAGACCUCCAGAAUUUCGAGCUAAACAAACUUCUUACCUUUAUAACAACUUGGCCUCAGGUACACACACUCACACACAUGCACACAUGGCAAAAACAAACAAACAAACAGCAUACUAAAGAACCCAUUUUUCUUCCAAACUGACGUGCCCUCCAUAAUGACAAAUAACAAUAAUGA
rnacentral:lncRNA from 1 species